rnacentral:rRNA from 1 species
AGUGAACGCUGGCGGUAGGCCUAACACAUGCAAGUCGAACGGCAGCACAGUAAGAGCUUGCUCUUACGGGUGGCGAGUGGCGGACGGGUGAGGAAUACAUCGGAAUCUACUUUUUCGUGGGGGAUAACGUAGGGAAACUUACGCUAAUACCGCAUACGACCUACGGAUGAAAGCAGGGGAUCUUCGGACCUUGCGCGAUUGAAUGAGCCGAUGUCGGAUUAGCUAGUUGGCGGGGUAAAGGCCCACCAAGGCGACGAUCCGUAGCUGGCCUGAGAGGAUGAUCAGCCACACUGGAACUGAGACACGGUCCAGACUCCUACGGGAGGCAGCAGUGGGGAAUAUUGGACAAUGGGCGCAAGCCUGAUCCAGCCAUACCGCGUGGGUGAAGAAGGCCUUCGGGUUGUAAAGCCCUUUUGUUGGGAAAGAAAAGCAGCAGGUUAAUACCCCGCUGUUCUGACGGUACCCAAAGAAUAAGCACCGGCUAACUUCGUG